rnacentral:tRNA from 1 species
GCCGAAGUGGCGGAAUGGCAGACGCGCUAGAUUCAGGGUCUAGUGUCCCUUGGGGCGUGCGGGUUCAACUCCCGCCUUCGGCACCA